rnacentral:rRNA from 1 species
GUGUCAGCCGCCGCGGUAAUACGGAGGGUGCAAGCGUUAUCCGGAUUCACUGGGUUUAAAGGGUGCGUAGGUGGGUUGGUAAGUCAGUGGUGAAAUCCCCGAGCUUAACUUGGGAACUGCCAUUGAUACUAUCAGUCUUGAAUACCGUGGAGGUCAGCGGAAUAUGUCAUGUAGCGGUUAAAUGCUUAGAUAUGACAUAGAACACCAAUUGCGAAGGCAGCUGGCUACGCGAAUAUUGACACUGAGGCACGAAAGCGUGGGGAUCAAACAGGAUUAGAUACCCUGGUAGUCCACGCCCUAAACUAUGGAUACUCGACAUCGGCGAUACACUGUUGGUGUCUGAGCGAAAGCAUUAAGUAUCCCACCUGGGAAGUACGAUCGCAAGAUUGAAACUCAAAUGAAUUGACGG